CAUGAUAUUCUGUGAUAUCCCAUAUAAUAAGGAUAAGGGCAGGUGGUGAAUGAGAUCCCACAUUGCUUGGGAAUGAGAAGUUCUUGCUCUUUAUAAGGUUCCAGUGGGGCUCCAAUUGUAUCAUUCACUAGUCCUUUUGGAGUAUAGACCAUGUGAUUUGGACUUUCUAUUGGGGCAUUACA